AGUGAGGGAUUUUGCGCAAUGGGGGAAACCCUGACGCAGCAACGCCGCGUGAGUGAAGAAGGCCUUUGGGUCGUAAAGCUCUGUCGACAGGGAAGAAGUUGGGAUAUAUUAACAGUGUAUUUCAUUGACGGUACCUGUAGAGGAAGCAUCGGCUAACUCCGUGCCAGCAGCCGCGGUAAUACGGGGGAUGCAAGCGUUAUUCUGGAAUCAUUGGGCGUAAAGGGCACGCAGGCGGUUCUGUCAGUCAGAUGUGAAAGCCCGGGGCUUAACCCCGGACGUGCAUUUGAAACAGCAGGACUUGAGUAUGGUAGAGGAAAGCGGAAUUCCUGGUGUAGAGGUGAAAUUCGUAGAUAUCAGGAGGAACACCGGUGGCGAAGGCGGCUUUCUGGACCAAAACUGACGCUGAGGUGCGAAGGCGUGGGUAGCGAACAGGAUUAGAUACCCUGGUAGUCCACGCAGUAAACGUUGUACACUAGGUGUAGCGGGUAUUGACCCCUGCUGUGCCGGAGCUAACGCAUUAAGUGUACCGCCUGGGGAGUACGGCCGCAAGGCUAAAACUCAAAGAAAUUGACGGGGGCCCGCACAAGCGGUGGAGCAUGUGGUUUAAUUCGACGCAACGCGAAGAACCUUACCCAGACUUGACAUCCUGUGAACCUCUUAGAAAUAAGAGGGUGCCUUCGGGAGCACAGAGACAGGUGCUGCAUGGCUGUCGUCAGCUCGUGUCGUGAGAUGUUCGGUUAAGUCCGGCAACGAGCGCAACCCUUGUCUUCAGUUGCCAGCACGUAAAGGUGGGAACUCUGAAGAGACUGCCCCGGUUAACGGGGAGGAAGGUGGGGAUGACGUCAAGUCCUCAUGGCCCUUAUGUCUGGGGCUACACACGUGCUACAAUGGUAUGUACAAAGGGCAGCAAGCAUGCGAGUGCAAGCCAAUCCCUUAAAGCAUAUCCCAGUCCGGAUUGGAGUCUGCAACUCGACUCCAUGAAGUUGGAAUCGCUAGUAAUCGUGGAUCAGCAUGCCACGGUGAAUACGU
rnacentral:rRNA from 1 species